GGGCCCGCACAAGCGGAGGAACAUGUGGUUUAAUUCGAUGAUACGCGAGGAACCUUACCUGGGCUUAAAUGUAGAGUGCAUGAUGUGGAAACAUGUCUUCCCUUCGGGGCUCUCUGCAAGGUGCUGCAUGGUUGUCGUCAGCUCGUGCCGUGAGGUGUCGGGUUAAGUCCCAUAACGAGCGCAACCCUUAUCGUUAGUUGCCAGCGGGUAAUGCCGGGAACUCUAACGAAACUGCCGGUGUAAACCGAGAGGAAGUGGGGAUGACGUCAAAUCAGCACGGCCCUUAUGUCCAGGGCUACACACGUGUUACAAUGGCCGGUACAGAGGGCAGCUACCUGGAGACAGGAUGCGAAUCUCGAAAGCCGGUCUCAGUUCGGAUCGGAGUCUGCAACCCGACUUCGUGAAGUUGGAUUCGCUAGUAAUCGCGCAUCAGCCAUGGCGCGGUGAAUACGUUCCCGGGCCUU
rnacentral:rRNA from 1 species